rnacentral:lncRNA from 1 species
UUGACAGUUUGGCUUCCCUGUUCUGGGUGGCAAAGCCUGUGGAGUACUCACCUACCUGCUGCAUGAAGGCAGCAUGGAGGGACUGUGGUGGAUUAUCUGCAAAGAUGGCCAAAAUUCUCUCAUCCCUGCAGGCACAUACAAGCCAGGUUUCCAGAAGUUCCCCAGUCAUUGAGCAUUUCUGAGGCUCUUGAUGCAUAUGCCAAGUAGUUAUGGAGAAAGACACAGCAGCUUACCUCUGCAGGCAUCAUUGUGUGAAAGGAAGACCCAGGCUCUCUCACCACCCUUGAACAGAAGCCUUUUGCUAAGGUGAUAGCUACAUGUCCAAGCCUAUUGCGUGGCAUGCAUUUUGCCUUCUGCAGCCCACUAAAGGUACACAAACACCAUUAGCCAAUCUGAAAAAAGAAAUUGAUGUCUAACUGGUUAUUAUUUCCUAGCAAGUGUUCUGCAAGUUGGGAAAUUGAAGUAUACAGAAUGCUUAUUUGGUCUACUCAGUAUCAUCCUAAAUGUAUGUACCAAUGCUUAGGAGUUUGCAGUUCACCCGCAAACCUCAGCGAUCCAAGCUCCCCUGGAUGACCAUCACUCACCAAGAAAAGAGCAAUAACAGGACCUGUUUUGCUAAU